GGGACGGUAGCCUAACGGUUAAUGCAUGCUGCAUAGCAUAUUCCUUUUAAGAAUACCUAUCGAUCUCAGUUCGAAUCUGAGCCGUUCCC